CUUGACCCAGGUUAUGGAAACCUUUGAUAGAGUAUGGAUUAAUUUCAGUGAGGUUGAAUGUAAGUUUUUAAUCCAUGUAUGGUGACUUGACCAAGUUAUGGAUGCCUUGAAUAGAAAUGUUACUGUUAUCAAACAAACUGUAUACAAAACGUUUGAUUUAUGUUUCUCAUCAAAACAUAUAUAAAUCAUGUAGAACUCUUACAGCUUUGAGGGAUGUUACAUCUAUAAGUUUCAGUCAUUUUAAGAAGUAAGAAAUAAGUUAUGUUUUGUCUGGAACACUAUGAACGCGUCAUCAACCACGUGGUGAAGAAGAACGUUGCCAUUUUGUGUUGAAUGCGUGUGGACCUGGGGAGAUAUCUUUCAAGGUAAUUAAAUCUUACCAAAUAUGUCACUGUUAGAGUCAGUCACUCUAAAAUACUAGUUUUAAUUAAUUAAGGUUAAUAAUUUGCUCGUAAGGUUGAGCAACAUGUUUAUGUCAAGGUAUUUUUUGAUAGUUUAUACUAAUGUGUUAAAGUUCGCUGUGGUUACUAUUCGCUGGCGUUAGCUAGCUAGGCCUAAACAACUUUAAUUUAGCUCAUGACUCAUUCACGAAUUUAGGGAAUAAAGCAUGUUUUUCUAUCGUGUGAAAGCGUAGUUGACUUUCCUUAGAACUAUGCAGUUAAUUGGUGUAAUUCGCUGGGGGGAGGGGGAGUUACUAACUGCAUGCUUAAGCAACUCAAAAUGUUGGCGCAUUUUUUGGGAUAUAUUCACUAUACCACGGUGGGGAAAGUCGUUGGUAAUGUCUUUAUUUGUUAUGCUGCUAUGCCCGGUAAAACGUAAAAACGUUUUUUUCUGUAGGUAUAGGUAAUUGGUGUUGAGACAGUUGGGUUGAGACGGGCUUCUGCUUCAAGCAUUGUUCCUAAGGCUCUGUAGAAAUUUGAUAUGGCAGUGUAAGGGGUGUUCCGUUGCAGUAGCUAGUAGGUCUUUACUUCUUAAUCAUUAUAAGCUCAAGCAUCCACAUUUUGGGCGCACCAUCCACUAUCCAUGUACAUUUAAGACUUGGAAUGCCUUAAUUGUACACCAAAGUAGAGUUUAUUCAACACAAGUUAGUCGGACUCCAAAAGAGUUGGUUGUCACUUAUGUAGAUGCAAAUGUCUAUCUAAUGAAAGGGAAUACUUUAUUAAUAUCAACAUACAUCUGAGGAGAAAUGAAAUUGUCUCUGACAUGUUUGUUGGCUGUACUUUUCAAACCAAUAUUUAUGGAACGUUUAUGUCUCAUAAGAGAAGCCGACACACACCUCAUAACCUAACUGAUUUUAUUCCUGGUAUUGUGUUAACGACUACAUUAGCAUCACCAUCAUUACAUGAUUCUUCAGCUGAUUGCCAGGAUGAGGAGUUUGUGGAAGAGGAAGUUUCUGUUGCACCCCUAGGUUUGGAAGACCAAUACAGACCAAUUUAUAUAUUUUAAGUAUAAGAUCAUUAGAAAAUGAAGUAAUCAAAUGAUUGUCUUAUUUUUAUUUUCAGAUAAAUGCAGAAUUUAAGCGCAUUACCACCAUGCCCCUGCAAUCCAGAUUUCUGACACAGCUGGAUGUAAGAUCUGACAAACUUCUAAAGCUGUUCGAAAAACGAGGAGGACAGAUAGGCAAGCGUCUUGAGAGAACUUUGGCCCCCAUGACUCAAGUAAGAAUGAAUUUUUGGGAAAUAAAAUACUGAAUUUACAGAGAAAUUUGAUAGAGGAAAAAGGAUUCCAAACAAAUGUCUUU
ensembl:lncRNA